GGAUCUGUGAUGGUUCUAUUUCUCAAAAAUAUUUCUUGAAAAGCUUAACAAAAUGAGUGACAACUCGAUACUGCCGUUCUCCUCAGUGAUGUUCC